rnacentral:rRNA from 1 species
AUUGAACGCUGGCGGCAGGCCUAACACAUGCAAGUCGAACGGUAACACAGAGAGCUUGCUCUCGGGUGACGAGUGGCGGACGGGUGAGUAACGUCUGGGAAACUGCCCGAUGGAGGGGGAUAACUACUGGAAACGGUAGCUAAUACCGCAUAACGUCGCAAGACCAAAGUGGGUGACCUUCGGGCCUCACACCAUCGGAUGUGCCCAGAUGGGAUUAGCUAGUAGGUGGGGUAAUGGCUCACCUAGGCGACGAUCCCUAGCUGGUCUGAGAGGAUGACGAGCCACACUGGAACUGAGACACGGGCCAGACUCCUACGGGAGGCAGCAGUGGGGAAUAUUGCACAAUGGGCGCAAGCCUGAUGCAGCCAUGCCGCGUGUAUGAAGAAGGCCUUCGGGUUGUAAAGUACUUUCAGCGGGGAGGAAGGCGGUGAAGUUAACAGCUUCACCGAUUGACGUUACCCGCAGAAGAAGCACCGGCUAACUCCGUGCCAGCAGCCGCGGUAA